rnacentral:miRNA from 1 species
AGGUAGUUGGUUGUGUUG